GUGGGAAGCCACAUGUACCGUUGCUGAGUGGCACUGACUACUGCUGGCCACCACGCAUAAGUUUGGACAAACAACCAAUGUGUACAUAUGCAGUAAAGUUUUUUGCAAAGACACUGCCUGGCCCGGGCAUGAUAAUGAGGUUCUGUAAGGUACUGAGAGUAUAACCAAUCAGAUGUGAGACAUGCAAAUGAGGUAUGAUAAUGAGGUUCUGUAAGGUACUGAGAGAGAGUAACCAAUCAGAUGUGAGACAUGCAAAUGAGGUAUGAUAAUGAGGCUCUGUGAGGUACAGAGAGAGAGAGAGUAGCCAAUCAGAUGAGGAACAUGCAAUGAGGCGUAGUGCAUAACCAAUCCGGGUGUGAGACAUGCCUCUCCUAGGCCUAUAAAAGCAGCACCAGUUCUGGGCUCGGGGUCUUUCGCCUCUACAAUCAAGCUCUCCCAAUAAACGUGUGCAGAAGGAUCCUGUUGCAGCGUCGUUCUUCCUGGCCAGUCAGCGCGCACAAGAAGAGACGAAAGAGGGAAAGGUGAUCGUGAACAAACACAGGGGCAGGACAGUUCCCCGAGGAAGCAGUCAUAAAACACAAAACACAGAUGACGAAGUCCUGAAAACUAAGGUGCGGAGCAGAAGCGAGCAGCAUCACUGCGAGAGCAUAAACCGUCAGAGUGGUCUGCGAAGUGCACUUCAUGCUGUCGAACACUCUAGAAAUGACGUGUCUGAAACCAUCAGGAAAUUUCAAGCACAGGAGAUUUUACAAGGGGGCAAAUGAAAGCACUCAGAGGGGAGGUCCUAAAGAAGUUAGAAGUGGUAUGUUUACAGGGAUUUUAUAGGGGUUGCAAGAGUGCAUACUCCAUAGACUAACUUUUAUCCCUUCAAAGCACAAGUAAAUUUGGCCACAGAGCAUCUUCCCAGCAACAGUGACCUGUACCUCUCCUUGUUCCAAGUCCAUAUUGAUGUAAUCAAGAGAAGUUUACACUUUUGUAACUGUGAAGAAUUUCAGUUAUGCAUAAUAAAACACAGCACGGAGCUUAAGGCUUUUCA
rnacentral:lncRNA from 1 species